GCAGGGGGGACCCGCGGAACGGCUUUGUGUGCAUCCUGACGAUGGGCGGCGGUGCAACCACCUGACAGAGGCUGGGGCACUAGAUGCACCUUCUGCCCGCAUGAGGAGGAGAGGCCGGUAGAGGACUGUGAACCAAAAGUUGUGCCCCGGGAUGGACUUCACCACACAGCCCAAGCCUGCCACAGCCCUCUGUGGCAUCGUGAGUGCCGCCGGGGAGAUCACUUACCCUCUGGGGGUAAAAGAGAUCACCAACAAGAUCACCACCGACGAGAUGAUCAAACACCUGAAGAUGGUAGUGAAAACCUUUAUGGAUAUGGCUGAGGACUCAGAAGAUGAAAAACAGCAGUGUCUCCCCACUAGCCUUGUAUCUUGCAUCUGAAUUCUCCCUCAGGAACCCCAAUAAAGAUGUGUGUCUCCUUGUAGCAUGUUGUUAGGCUGAUAUCUUUUGUAUCUAUGCCCCAGAAGGUCCAUAUACUUCCCAUGAUAAACUUAAGGACAUAUUUUUGUUUAUUACCAGACAAUUAAAAGGUUUGGAGGAUACAAAGAGUCCGCAGUUUAAUAGAUACUUUUAUUUAUUAGAGAAUUUAGCUUGGGUUAAAUCAUGUAACAUCUGCUUUGAAUUAGAAGAUUGCAAUGAAAUUUUCAUUCAGCUUUUUAGGACUUUCUUCUCAGUGAUCAACAAUAGCCACAAUAAGAAGGUACAAAUGCAUGUGCUAGAUUUGAUGAGUUAUAUCAUCAUGGAAGGAGACAGAGUUACUCAAGAGUUAUUGGACUCCAUUCUUAUUAACCUCAUUCCUGCCCAUAAGUACUUAAAUAGUCCUUUGACCUUGCAAAAGUGCUAUUGGAAAGAACAGUCCAGACUAUUGAGGCAUGCAUUGCCAAUUUUUUCAAUCAAGUCCUGGUGCUGGGAAGAUCAUCAGUAAGUGAUUUGUCAGAACAUGUAUUUGAUCUGAUUCAGGACCUUUUUGCUGUAGAUCCUCGUUUAUUAUUUCCAUCAUGCCACAGCUUGAAUUCAAACUAAAGAGCAAUGAUGGAGAAGAGUGAUUAGCUGUUGUUCAACUUCUAGCUAAAUUGUUUGGCUCCAAAGAUUCUGAUUUGGCAACACAAAAUUGUUCUCUUUGGCAAUGUUUUCUUGGAUGGUUUAAUGACAUUCAUGUUCCUGUGAGAUUAGAAAGUGUGAAAUUUGCCAGUCAUUGUUUAAUGAAUCACCCAGAUUUAGCGAAGGAUCUCACAGAAUAUUUAAAGGUUAGAUCACAUGAUCCAGAAGAAGCUAUUCAUCAUGAUGUCAUUGUUACUUUAAUAACAGCUGCCAAGAGAGACCUGGCCUUAGUCAACGAUCAGCUGCUUGGCUUUGUAAGGGAAAGAACACUGGAUAAAUGGUGGCAAGUAAGAAAAGAAGCUAGACGGGUCUGGCUCAGCUUUUUAAGAAAUACUGUCUUCAUGGUGAAGCAGGAAAGGAAGCUGCAGAGAAAGUCAACUGGAUAAAGGACAAACCUUUGCAUAUUUAUUAUCAGAACAGCAUUGAUGACAAACUGUUGGUAGAGAAAAUCUUUGCUCAGUAUCUUGUCCCCUACAACCUGGAAACAGAAAAGAGAAUGAAAUGCUUAUAUUACUUAUAUGCUAGUUUGGAUUUAAAUACUGUAAAAACUCUCAAUGAGAUGUGGAAGUGUCAGAACAUGCUUUGGAGUCAUGUACGCGAACUGUUAGAUUUGCACAAGCAGCUUACAUCAGAGGCUAACUGUUCUGCCAUGUUUGGAAAACUGAUGACCAUAGCAAAGAAUUUGCCUGACCCCGGGAAAGCACAAGAUUUUGUGAAGAAAUUUAACCAGGUUCUCGGCGAUGAUGAGAAACUUCGGUCUCAACUGGAGUUAUUAAUCAGCCCAACCUGUUCUUGCAAACAAGCAGAUAUUUGUGUGAGAGAAAUAGCCUGGAAACUUGCAAAUCCUAAGCAACUAACAAAUCCUUUUCUAGAGAAGGUCAAAUUUUCCGUUGGAGAGAAUUGCACCUGUGCACAUUGAUUCAGAAGCCAUGAGUGCACUAAUGAAAUUGAUGAAUAAGUGAAUAGAGGGGACAGCAGAUGAUGAAGAGGAGGGUGUAAGUCCAGAUACAGCUAUCCGUUCAGGACUUGCACUUCUUAAGGUUCUAUCUUUCACAUAUCCUACCUCGUUCCACUCUGCAGAGACAUAUGAGUCUUUGUUACAGUGUCUAAGAAUGGAGGAUGACAAGGUAGCAGAAGCUGCUGUACAAAUUUUUAGAAAUACAGGUCACAAAGUAGAAACAGACCUUCCCUAGAUACGGUCAACCUUAAUUCCCAUUUUACAUCAAAAAGCGAAGAAUACGUCUCGCUUGCAAUUAGCUGCUGGUAGUGCCAUAAUGAAGCUUGCUCAGGAACCUUGUUACCAUGAAAUUAUUACCCCAGAACAGUUUUAGCUCUGUGCACUUGUUAUUAAUGAUGAGUGUUACCAAGUAAGGCAGAUAUUUUCUCAGAAACUGCAUAAAGCACUUGUGAAGUUACUGCUUCCAUUGGAGCAUAUAUCCCAUAUAUGGCGAUAUUUGCCUUGUGUGCCAAAGAUCCUGUGAAGGAGAGAAGUGCACACGCACGACAGUGUUUACCGAAAAAUAUCAAUAUACGCAGGGAAUACAUUAAGCAGAACCCUAUGGCCACUGAGAAAUUAUUAUCACUGUUGCCUGAAUAUGUAGUUCCAUACAUGAUUCACCUGCUGGCCCAUGAUCCAGAUUUUACAAGAUCACAAGAUGCUGAUCAGCUUCAUGAUAUCAAAGAGUGCCUAUGGUUCAUACUUGAAGUUUUAAUGACAAAGAAUGGAAACAAUAGCCAUGCCUUUAUGAAGAAGAUGGCAGAGAACAUCAAGUUACCCAGAGAUGCCCAGUCUCCAGAUGAAUCCCAGACAAAUGAAAAACUGUAUACAGUAUGUGAUGUGAUUCUCUGUGUUAUAAAUAGUAAAAGUGCUUUGUGCAGCGCAGAUUCACCAAAGGACCCAGUCCUCCCAAUGAAAUUUUUUACACAACCUGAAAAGGACUUCUGUAAUGAUAAGAGUUCUAUUUCAGAAGAGACAAGAGUACUUCUGUUAACAGGAAAGCCAAAGCCUACUGAAGUGCUAGGUGCAGUAAACAAACCUUUAUUAGCAACGAGAAGGAAACCCUGUGUUAGAAGCACUGGUACUGAGACUGGAAGCAACGUUAAUGGAAAUUCAGAGCUGAACCCUUCAACUGGAAAUCGAUCACGGGAACAGAGUUCAGAGGCAGCAGAAACUGGAGUUAGUGAAAAUGAAGAGAACCCUGUGAAGAUUACUUCAGUCACACCUGUAACGAAUAUUGACCCAGUAAAGAAUAAGGAAAUCAGUUCUGAUCAGGCUACCCAGGCUACCCACUGCUACAUCAGCAGUGACCAAGGAAAGAAAAGAACAGUAACAGCAGCUUGUGCAGAGAAUAUCCAACAAAAAACAGAUGAGAAAGUAGAUGAAUUUGGACCGCCUGCCCCUUCCACACCCCGGAGAGGACGUUGACCCAAGUCUGAAUUCCGGGCAAUGCAACCCAAAAUAAUGAUCUAAAUAAACCUAUUAACAAGGGAAGGAAGAGAGCUGCAGUGGGUCAGGAGAGCCCUGGGGGUUUGGAAGCAGGUAAUGCCAAAGCACCCAAACUGCAAGAUGUAGCCAAAAAGGCAGCACCAGCAGAAAGACAAAUUGACUUACAAAGGUAA